UGAAACUAAAAAUGGAUCACAUAGAAUUGCCAAUUAAAUCGAAUGCCGGAAAUAUAAGUAAGGACGUUGAAAUUGAAGUCAAAACUAACAAUGAUAAUUUCGGAUUAUUGACUGAGCAAACAAGAGGUUGUGAUAACGAAAGACUUGAGAAAAUAAAAUGUGAAUUCAAUGAUUUAAAGCCAUUUGACUUUCAAUGUAAAACAAAAACUUCAAAAACCAUCAAAAACGGAGGGCUCAGAGAUGAAAAGAGAAUUUUAGACGAAGAUAAUUUUACUCAAAAUCAUAAGAUUAAUGAUUUUAAAGUACCGCAGGCCUUAUCAAAACUAGGCAAUUGUUCAAAAACUUUAAUUACCGACAAAAGUUUGUAUAAAAACCAGGUUGUCAAUCCGUAUAAAACAAUUAUUGCAAAUCCUGUGCAAAUAAGUACAUUGGAUGAACAGGAUAGGUUUAUUAAAUCUCAGUCCUUGGAAUUCUACCAUGAGCAAAGGUCUGCGACUAGUAUCUACCGGAUUCCAGACUAUCGUUUCCCAACAAAAGUACAAAAGAAGUGUUGCACAGAUGAUUCAGAGUUUGCAGAAAUGUUGGAAUGUGUUCCAAAGACUUUGAAAGCAAUUGACUAUUGCUCGUGUUUGGGUACCGAAAGCCUUAAAAAGUGCCCUACCAAAACUUCUUCUGCGACCCUACAACAUAAUACGGCAAUAAAACCUCAAUCAAUUGAAAGUCGUCCUAUCUAUCCAAAUGUGCCAUAUAGCCCAUAUAGUAGUCCUUUUGGAAGUCCACAUUGCAGUCGAAGACGUCCUUUCAGAGAAUGUAGGAGAAUAUCAAUAGAAAAGUCUGGAAGUUUUCUUCAACUAAACCAAUAUAAAUUGAUGGAACAAAUUGGACAGGGCUCCUACGGACUCGUCAAAUUGGCAUACUCCGAAGAAGACUCAACACAUUAUGCUAUGAAAAUUCUGUCCAAGAAGCGUCUUGUAAGACAAGCUGGACUUAUGCGCCGGGGACCUAGAAAAACCACAUCACCACUUGAUCGAGUUUACAGAGAAAUAGCAGUUUUAAAAAAACUUGAUCAUCCUAAUGUAGUAAAGUUGGUAGAAGUCUUAGAUGACCCACAGGAAGAUUCAUUAUAUAUGGUUUUUGAGUUGGUACAGCAAGGCGAAGUUCUAAGAAUUCCAACAGAUAAGCCAUUGUCUGAGGAAAAAGCCUGGAGUAUUUUUCGGGAGGCUUUACUUGGAUUAGAAUAUUUACACCAUCAAAAAAUUAUUCAUGCCGACAUAAAGCCUGGGAAUUUAUUAUUAACUGAAAGUGGGCAUGUAAAGAUAGCAGAUUUUGGUGUGUGCAAUGAAUUUCUCGGAGAAGAUGCGAAAAUAAGCAAUGGAUCGUCGGCUGGAACUCCUGCCUUCAGAGCACCUGAAACUCUAAUUCUAGGACAGAACGAGUAUUGUGGAAAAGCAGCAGAUGUCUGGGCCCUAGGUGCAACUCUGUAUUCAUUAAUAUUUGGAAAUGUGCCGUUCCUAGCAGAUUCUGUCCCCGUACUGUACGAAAAAAUAAAACAAGAUUGUGUAAGUUUUCCAGAAAAUCAUUUCAUUACUGAAAAUUUGAAAAGCUGCAUAGUUCAAAUGUUGGAAAAAGACGUAAAGCACAGAAUAACAGUUCCGCUGCUAAAGGUAAAUAAAUGGGUUACCUCUGGUGGAGAGUUUCCCUUGCCCACUGAGGAAGAAAAUUGUAAUUUGGUACAAGUUGAUGAUAAAGACAUAAACUCCGUCGUUCGUAGCAUUCCAAAACUAAAAACACUGAUACUUAUUAAAACCAUGCUAAAAAAACAUUCUUUUGCUAAUCCAUUUGUAAAAGAAUCUUUUGGAAAAAUAUCGGAACCAAGUUGCUCGCGGAUAGACAAGUUUGUCUGCGCAGGUCGAUCUAACUCAGCACCUGGCUCAUAUCACAUAUCAACAGAUAGGCAGUCUUCUACAGAUACUCUUCUUCCAUCCGUAAAGGAACAGUGACCACGUCAAUACAGCAGAUCUUGGUGGGUGCAAUGAAUUUUUCGGAGAAGAUGCGAAAAUAAGCAAUGGAUCGUCGGCUGGAACUCUAAUUCUACAAAUCGAGUAUUGUGGAAAAGCAGCAGAUGUCUGGGCCCUAGGUGCAACUCUGUAUUCAUUAGUAUUUGAAAUUGUGCAGUUCCCAGCAAUUUCUAUGGGAGGCUCUGGUGGAGACUUUCCCUUUCCGACUGAGGAAGAAAAUUUUUGUUUGGUACAAGUUGAUAAACUCCGUCGUUCACAGCAUUCCAAAACUAGACACACCUAUACUAAUUAAAACCAUGCUAAAAAAAACAUUCUUUCGCUAACGAUUUGUAAAAAAAAAACUUUUGGAAAAUUACCGUAACCAAGUUUCUUUCGGAUAGACAAGUUUGUCUGCACAGGUCGAUGAUCCCCUGGCCCAUAUCACAUAUCAACAGAUAGGCAGGCUUCUACAGAUACUCUUCUUACAUUCGUAAAGGAACAUUGACCACGUCAAUGUAAAGAAAAUAUAUAUAAAAAUUUCUUAGAUAGUAAGGGUUACAUAUUAGGAAAGCUUUUGUUAUUUCGAAGUAGUUUGCGUGCGUAUGUAGAGAAUGUUAUGCCUUGUAUGAAUUUUAGCAAAAAUGUUUAAUUUAUGAAAUUAUUUAAGAAUUGAUUUUCGAAUUUUAAUGUAAAGAAAAUAUGUAAAAUAAUUUAUAUUGUUACAUUUUGGGAAAGCUUUCGGAAUAGCAAUUAUUUCGAAGAGGCUUGCGUGCGUAUGGUGAUAAUGUUAUUGUUAAUUUUGUGAUUUCAUUCUCGAUUAAGUAACGUUAGCAAGUUUUUAUUUGAGAAUAUAAAAGGACUUAAUUUAUUAUUAACAGGAACUAGAAAAUAUAGACAUCACCGAGCCUCCUUCUGUUCGUGUGAACGCUGUGAUCUCGGAAAAUUUAAAAGCUAGAUGAUUCAUACAAGUAUAUCUGAUUUAUUUUUGUACGCAGCGCAUGGUUGUUACGCGAAUAUGCCACGACCACUCUGACGCCCACAAACAGCACAAACUACAGUUUAAGACCUAAAAAAAUGUUGUGCUAAAAUGUAUGACUCAAUUCCUCCUAUCGAUAGUCCAUCUCCUCCUAUCUAAGUCCACUCUAAGGCCGUCCCCCACAACCCAAUAUAUGGUUGCAGGUAGGUAGCGUUUUAAAUAACAUUUUUAUAGUUCCCCUUUCUCCCUUUGUUCCUUUCAGCUGAUAAUUAGAGCACUCGACUUUAGCGUUCACCCUUGUUAAAAUCUCUCAAUGCAAUAAACUUUUAUCCAGCCAAUGGAAUACAUUUAAUUCAGUAUGCUCAAAACAAAUACCCAAAUAAAUAAGAACUAAAGUAAA